rnacentral:rRNA from 1 species
AUAAGUUUAAUCGUUUUAACGAGAAACCGCGAACGGCUCAUUACAAUGGCCAUGAUUUACUUGAUCUUGAUUAUCUAAAUGGAUAACUGUGGAAAAGCUAGAGCUAAUACAUGCACCARAGCUUUGUCCUCUCGGAAAAGCGCAUUUAUUAGAACAAAACCACGCGGCUUCGGCUGCUUCUUGUUGACUCAGAAUAACUAAGCUGACCGCAUGGCCUUGUGCCGGCGGCGUGUCUUUCAAGCGUCCACUUUAUCAACUUGACGGGAGCAUAAUCGACUCCCGUGGUGGUGACGGAUAACGGAGGAUCAGGGUUCGACUCCGGAGAAGGGGCCUGAGAAAUGGCCACUACGUCUAAGGAUGGCAGCAGGCGCGCAAAUUACCCACUCUCGGCUCGAGGAGGUAGUGACGAGAAAUAACGAGACUGUUCUCUUUGAGGCCGGUCAUCGGAAUGGGUACAAUUUAAACCCUUUAACGAGUA